GGUUAAGCGACUAAGCGUACACGGUGGAUGCCCUGGCAGUCAGAGGCGAUGAAGGGCGUGCUAAUCUGCGAUAAGCGCCGGUAAGGUGAUAUGAACCGUUAUAACCGGCGAUACCCGAAUGGGGAAACCCAGUGUGACUCGUCACACUAUCAUUAACUGAAUCCAUAGGUUAAUGAGGCGAACCGGGGGAACUGAAACAUCUAAGUACCCCGAGGAAAAGAAAUCAACCGAGAUUCCCCCAGUAGCGGCGAGCGAACGGGGAGGAGCCCAGAGCCUGAAUCAGCAUGUGUGUUAGUGGAAGCGUCUGGAAAGGCGCGCGAUACAGGGUGACAGCCCCGUACACAAAAGCGCAUGUGCUGUGAGCUCGAUGAGUAGGGCGGGACACGUGGUAUCCUGUCUGAAUAUGGGGGGACCAUCCUCCAAGGCUAAAUACUCCUGACUGACCGAUAGUGAACCAGUACCGUGAGGGAAAGGCGAAAAGAACCCCGGCGAGGGGAGUGAAAAAGAACCUGAAACCGUGUACGUACAAGCAGUGGGAGCACCCUUUGGGGUGUGACUGCGUACCUUUUGUAUAAUGGGUCAGCGACUUAUAUUCUGUAGCAAGGUUAACCGUAUAGGGGAGCCGUAGGGAAACCGAGUCUUAACCGGGCGUUAAGUUGCAGGGUAUAGACCCGAAACCCGGUGAUCUAGCCAUGGGCAGGUUGAAGGUUGGGUAACACUAACUGGAGGACCGAACCGACUAAUGUUGAAAAAUUAGCGGAUGACCUGUGGCUGGGGGUGAAAGGCCAAUCAAACCGGGAGAUAGCUGGUUCUCCCCGAAAGCUAUUUAGGUAGCGCCUCGUGAAUUCAUCUCCGGGGGUAGAGCACUGUUUCGGCUAGGGGGCCAUCCCGGCUUACCAACCCGAUGCAAACUGCGAAUACCGGAGAAUGUUAUCACGGGAGACACACGGCGGGUGCUAACGUCCGUCGUGAAGAGGGAAACAACCCAGACCGCCAGCUAAGGUCCCAAAGUCAUGGUUAAGUGGGAAACGAUGUGGGAAGGCCCAGACAGCCAGGAUGUUGGCUUAGAAGCAGCCAUCAUUUAAAGAAAGCGUAAUAGCUCACUGGUCGAGUCGGCCUGCGCGGAAGAUGUAACGGGGCUAAACCAUGCACCGAAGCUGCGGCAGCGACACUGUGUGUUGUUGGGUAGGGGAGCGUUCUGUAAGCCUGUGAAGGUGUGUCGUGAGGCAUGCUGGAGGUAUCAGAAGUGCGAAUGCUGACAUAAGUAACGAUAAAGCGGGUGAAAAGCCCGCUCGCCGGAAGACCAAGGGUUCCUGUCCAACGUUAAUCGGGGCAGGGUGAGUCGACCCCUAAGGCGAGGCCGAAAGGCGUAGUCGAUGGGAAACGGGUUAAUAUUCCCGUACUUGGUGUUACUGCGAAGGGGGGACGGAGAAGGCUAUGUUGGCCGGGCGACGGUUGUCCCGGUUUAAGCGUGUAGGUGUGUGUUCCAGGUAAAUCCGGUUCACUUUAACACUGAGGCGUGACGACGAGGCACUACGGUGCUGAAGCAACAAAUGCCCUGCUUCCAGGAAAAGCCUCUAAGCAUCAGGUAACAUCAAAUCGUACCCCAAACCGACACAGGUGGUCAGGUAGAGAAUACCAAGGCGCUUGAGAGAACUCGGGUGAAGGAACUAGGCAAAAUGGUGCCGUAACUUCGGGAGAAGGCACGCUGACACGUAGGUGAAGUGAUUUACUCAUGGAGCUGAAGUCAGUCGAAGAUACCAGCUGGCUGCAACUGUUUAUUAAAAACACAGCACUGUGCAAACACGAAAGUGGACGUAUACGGUGUGACGCCUGCCCGGUGCCGGAAGGUUAAUUGAUGGGGUCAGCGCAAGCGAAGCUCCUGAUCGAAGCCCCGGUAAACGGCGGCCGUAACUAUAACGGUCCUAAGGUAGCGAAAUUCCUUGUCGGGUAAGUUCCGACCUGCACGAAUGGCGUAAUGAUGGCCAGGCUGUCUCCACCCGAGACUCAGUGAAAUUGAACUCGCUGUGAAGAUGCAGUGUACCCGCGGCAAGACGGAAAGACCCCGUGAACCUUUACUAUAGCUUGACACUGAACAUUGAGCCUUGAUGUGUAGGAUAGGUGGGAGGCUUUGAAGCGUGGACGCCAGUCUGCGUGGAGCCGACCUUGAAAUACCACCCUUUAAUGUUUGAUGUUCUAACGUGGACCCGUAAUCCGGGUUGCGGACAGUGUCUGGUGGGUAGUUUGACUGGGGCGGUCUCCUCCUAAAGAGUAACGGAGGAGCACGAAGGUUGGCUAAUCCUGGUCGGACAUCAGGAGGUUAGUGCAAUGGCAUAAGCCAGCUUGACUGCGAGCGUGACGGCGCGAGCAGGUGCGAAAGCAGGUCAUAGUGAUCCGGUGGUUCUGAAUGGAAGGGCCAUCGCUCAACGGAUAAAAGGUACUCCGGGGAUAACAGGCUGAUACCGCCCAAGAGUUCAUAUCGACGGCGGUGUUUGGCACCUCGAUGUCGGCUCAUCACAUCCUGGGGCUGAAGUAGGUCCCAAGGGUAUGGCUGUUCGCCAUUUAAAGUGGUACGCGAGCUGGGUUUAGAACGUCGUGAGACAGUUCGGUCCCUAUCUGCCGUGGGCGCUGGAGAACUGAGGGGGGCUGCUCCUAGUACGAGAGGACCGGAGUGGACGCAUCACUGGUGUUCGGGUUGUCAUGCCAAUGGCACUGCCCGGUAGCUAAAUGCGGAAGAGAUAAGUGCUGAAAGCAUCUAAGCACGAAACUUGCCCCGAGAUGAGUUCUCCCUGAGACUUAGAGUCUCCUGAAGGAACGUUGAAGACGACGACGUUGAUAGGCCGGGUGUGUAAGCGCAGCGAUGCGUUGAGCUAACCGGUACUAAUGAACCGUGAGGCUUAACCUU
rnacentral:rRNA from 1 species